CCUAAUUUUUCCUCAUUCUCUCGUCUCCGCUAGCAACCCAACCCGGUUCUUGCCCAAAUCCAAUCCAUCAUAUUUGAUUCUACUCAUCUCUCAACAAUCACACAUUCAUGUGAUUUGGAAUUGCCGAUCUGUAAGAUGAACGGACAUUACGAAGUAUGGCCACGAAGACUUUGAAUCUUUUCAUUCUGCUUCUCAUAUUCUCACUAUUGGCACUCUGAGCCCUCGACUAGACGACGUCGAUGCUGCCUUUAGUCUUUCUUCCAUUGACACCAUCAGCGGCCAGUAGCGCAAGCAGCUGUGAUUCAUUUUUGGAAGCAGAAAGAAAGUGAACUAGAACUACUGAACCGUGAACAAGUAGAAGAACUCAGUCUCACAAGCUGCUGGAGCGAUAGAGCCUCAAGCCUGGAGUUAAUACCUCAUUGGAUACUGCCCCUGUCCCCCAAGCCUGGAGUUUGUGAUCACUUUGAUUUAUCUAUAAUUGAUUUUAAAACCCUUCUAGAUUAAGUGCUUAUUUCUUUAUGACUUUUAAGUUUUAAGCCAUUUGUUUGGUGAUUAGGUGUUAAUGAAUUAAUUUAUAAGUUCUCCCUUUUCUUUUUCA